rnacentral:rRNA from 1 species
AUUGAACGCUGGCGGCAGGCCUAACACAUGCAAGUCGAACGGUAACAGGAAGCAGCUUGCUGCUUUGCUGACGAGUGGCGGACGGGUGAGUAAUGUCUGGGAAACUGCCUGAUGGAGGGGGAUAACUACUGGAAACGGUAGCUAAUACCGCAUAACGUCGCAAGACCAAAGAGGGGGACCUUCGGGCCUCUUGCCAUCGGAUGUGCCCAGAUGGGAUUAGCUAGUAGGUGGGGUAACGGCUCACCUAGGCGACCAUCCCUAGCUGGUCUGAGAGGAUGACCAGCCACACUGGAACUGAGACACGGUCCAGACUCCUACGGGAGGCAGCAGUGGGGAAUAUUGCACAAUGGGCGCAAGCCUGAUGCAGCCAUGCCGCGUGUAUGAAGAAGGCCUUCGGGUUGUAAAGUACUUUCAGCGGGGAGGAAGGGAGUAAAGUUAAUACCUUUGCUCAUUGACGUUACCCGCAGAAGAAGCACCGGCUAACUCCGCG